CCGACACCGAGCACAGCUUCUUGUUGUUCUGCAGUGACUCCGCGCCGGUGAUGUCGGUGUUGUCGCUGCGCACCAACAGGCUCUGCCCGGUGAUCAGGUACGGCCCGGCGAAAUCGACCUUCUCCUUGCGCGAAUCGGUGAUCGAAUAGGUCGCCGCGAUGAACUUCACCUGAUCGUUCUGGAUCAGCGUUUCACGCUGGGCCGACGGCGAUUCCUUCCACUCGACAUAUAUGCUUGUUUAAAGGACUAAGCCAUGCAAAUCUAAGUAUAAGUAACACGUAUGUACAAGACUGUGAACAGCUUAUUAUAAAAGUUAUAAUUUAUUUGAACGUGGAAACUUGAAACAGUUUCAAAUAUAUAAGUGGAUAACUGUAGUAAAACUAGAGAUAAUACAUGCAAAUGGAGGAGACUAAAGUAAUUUUGGAAUCCUUGCAUUAACUGGAUUAUUAAGAAACACAACUUUUUUU
rnacentral:rRNA from 1 species